UGGACCUUAGUUUUCGACGUGUUUUGGUGUGCUGGGGAGUUGAUAUUCCGAUUGAAACCGUCCAAAACUGAGGCCAAC
rfam:Drosophila persimilis strain MSH-3 cont1.010600, whole genome shotgun sequence.